GUACCCACAGGAAGAGAAAACAACUGUGAUUCCGUGAGUAGUGGCGAGCGAAAUCGGAUGAGGCCAAACCGUAUCUGUGUGAUAGCUGUCAGGCGUUGCAGGUGCGGGGUUGUGGGACCUUUGUCCCGGGACUGACAUUCCGGGCCGGAGUGAUAAAUCUGCGUCAUAGUCGAAGAGUCUUGAAUGGCUCGGCACAGAGGGUGCGACCCCCGUAGACGAAAUGGCGUGGACUCCGGUGAAGUGUUCCCAAGUAGCACGGGGC
rnacentral:rRNA from 15 species